rnacentral:rRNA from 1 species
CAGUGAUUGCUUUUUAACGGCCGCGGUACCCUGACCGUGCAAAGGUAGCAUAAUCAUUUGCCUUUUAAUUGAAGGCUGGUAUGAACGGUUUGACGAGAGUAAAGCUGUCUCACAUAUACUUAAUAAAAAUUAAUUUAAAGGUGCAAAAGCCUUUAUUACCCAAAAAGACGAGAAGACCCUGUUGAGCUUUAAUUUAGCCCAAGUAUUAACUAUAUAUUAAUAUAAUUCACUUACUCGGUAAAAAUUUUAAUUGGGGCGAUUAAGGAACACACAAAAGCUUCCUGACAGUAGAUUAAAUCGAUCCAGCAAUGCUGAUCAACAAAAUGAGUUACCACAGGGAUAACAGCAUAAUUCUUUUUGAGAGCUCAUAUCGAAAAAAGAGAUUGUGACCUCGAUGUUGGACUAGGGUAACCGGAAGGUGCAGCCGCUUUCCUGCUUGGUCUGUUCGACCAAUAAUUCCCU